GGCCUCGUGGAUUAACGUAAAUCGUGCUCGUCCUGUUAGUAUUUACCGAAAACGUGCAAGAGAGAGAAGCGGGUUCGAUUCCCGCCGAAGCCA